rnacentral:rRNA from 1 species
UACGGAGGGAGCUAGCGUUGUUCGGAAUUACUGGGCGUAAAGCGCACGUAGGCGGCUUUGUAAGUUAGAGGUGAAAGCCCGGGGCUCAACCCCGGAAUUGCCUUUAAGACUGCAUCGCUUGAAUCCAGGAGAGGUGAGUGGAAUUCCGAGUGUAGAGGUGAAAUUCGUAGAUAUUCGGAAGAACACCAGGGGCGAAGGCGGCUCACUGGACUGGUAUUGACGCUGAGGUGCGAAAGCGUGGGGAGCAAACAGG